GAUGAAGAACGCAGCGAAAUGCGAUAAGUAAUGUGAAUUGCAGAAUUCAGUGAAUCAUCGAAUCUUUGAACGCACAUUGUGCCCGCCAGUAUUCUGGCGGGCAUGCCUGUUCGAGCGUCAUUACAACCCUCAGGCCCCCGGGCCUGGCGUUGGGGAUCGGCGGAGCCCCCCGUGGGCACACGCCGUCCCCCAAAUGCAGUGGCGGUCCCGCCGCAGCUUCCAUCGCGUAGUAGCUAACACCUCGCGACUGGAGAGCGGCGCGGCCACGCCGUAAAACACCCAACUCUUCUGAAGUUGACCUCGAAUCAGGUAGGAAUACCCGCUGAACUUAAGCAUAUCAAUAAGCGGAGGA
rnacentral:misc_RNA from 1 species